rnacentral:misc_RNA from 1 species
CCAAUAGCGUAUAUUAAAGUUGUUGCAGUUAAAAAGCUCGUAGUUGAAUUUCGGGACCAAUCUGCCGGUCGUGCCUCCGGUACGCACUGGUUUUAUUGGUUUCUCCCUUCUGACGAACCAUGAUGUCAUUAAUUUGGUGUCAUGGGGAAUCAGGACUGUUACUUUGAAAAAAUUAGAGUGUUUAUAGCAGGCUCACGCUUGAAUACAUUAGCAUGGAAUAAUGAAAUAGGACGUUUGACCCUAUUUUGUUGGUUUCUAGGAUCGACGUAAUGAUUAAUAGGGAUAGUUGGGGGCAUUAGUAUUCAAUUGUCAGAGGUGAAAUUCUUGGAUUUAUUGAAGACUAACUACUGCGAAAGCAUUUGCCAAGGAUGUUUUCAUUAAUCAAGAACGAAAGUUAGGGGAUCGAAGACGAUCAGAUACCGUCGUAGUCUUAACCAUAAACGAUGCCAACCAGCGAUUAGCCUGAGUUCCUUAAAUGACUCGGCUAGCAGCUUCCG